CAGCAGCCACGGGAAUACGAAGGGUGCAAGCGUUACUCGGAAUUACUGGGCGUAAAGCGUGCGUAGGUGGUGGUUUAAGUCCGUUGUGGAAGCCCUGGGCUCAACCUGGGAAUUGCAGUGGAUACUGGGUCACUAGAGUGUGGUAGAGGAUAGUGGAAUUUCUGGUGUAGCAGUGAAAUGCGUAGAGAUCGGAAGGAACAUCUGUGGCGAAGGCGACUAUCUGGGCCAACACUGACGCUGAGGUGCGAAAGCGUGGGGAGCAAACAGGAUUAGAUACCCGCGUAGUCCCUGUCUCUUAUAC
rnacentral:rRNA from 1 species